rnacentral:rRNA from 1 species
UACAGAGGUCUCAAGCGUUGUUCGGAUUCAUUGGGCGUAAAGGGUGCGUAGGCGGCGCGGUAAGUCGGGUGUGAAAUCUUGGAGCUUAACUCCGAAACUGCAUUCGAUACUGCGGUGCUUGAGGACUGGAGAGGAGACUGGAAUUCAUGGUGUAGCAGUGAAAUGCGUAGAGAUCAUGAGGAAGACCAGUGGCGAAGGCGGGUCUCUGGACAGUUCCUGACACUGAGGCACGAAGGCCAGGGGGAGCAAACGGG